AUCGGCUUUAAUGUAACACUUCCAAUCUCCACAAGGGCAUUGCUGUCUCCUAAUCCAGAUAUUAUUCAAUGGCUUUGCUGCCAUUAUCUAUGUAACAAUACACACAACCUUUCUAAACAACAUAAAACAUUCUCAAAGCUGAAAUUUUUUGAUCCCCAAAAGCAAAGCAACACUUCUAGAAUCUUCUAUUAAUCUGAACAACGUAAAAGAUUCUCAAAGCUGAAAUUCUUUGAUCCCCAAAAGCAAAACUCUUCUAGAAUAUUCUAGUAACAUAUUUCAAUCCUCAAAAUCUAACAGAACAAAUUACUCCAAAGAAUCAUUUUUUAAGAUGAAUCCAAUUCAUUUUAAGGGAUGAAAACAGAACUAGGGCAGAAUCUCGAAUUCAAGUUCAAAUUUCAACUGGGAGUGGAAAUCUUGAACUCUAUACCUACAUACGGAUAGAAAACGCUAAAUUAAGAUAAAUAGAUAAUUAAUUCUAAAUUAUCACACAUAUGAAAUGCAGCAUAUAUUGAGAAGAAUAACAGUGUUUAAUGAACCUUCAAUUAGAAAUUAAAAAGA
rnacentral:lncRNA from 1 species